UCGAUGCCCUAUAGAUGAACCGUCCACUAAAUUCACUGGCUCCUUCUGGAGCUGGUGAUCCUUCUUAAAAAUCUGUAGUAAUAUUAGCAAAUCAUUGUAGUUUACUGUAGGCUUCAUCAUUCUAUAAUGACUGAGAAAUGAUAGAUAGAAUUUUGGUAGUGAAUUGAGAAUAGCAUAUCUACCUAACUAUUCAUGCAACGGAAAGUCAAGUUUGCUAAGACGUUCAAUCUACUCAAUCAUGUACAAUACAUGAUUGUUGAUCGAAGCCCCCUCUUGCAUAUGGAUAUUGAACACUGUGCAGGAGAUUUUGUAUCUCUCCAUACCCUCAGGGGUGCUGAAGGACUCAUUCAACAUUUGAAUAAUCUUCUCAAGCUACACAUCUUCAAACUUACCACUAAGUUCGUCGUUCAUAGCUGCCCUCAUCAUACAACGUACAAUCAUACAAUCAUUGAGCCACUUCAUGUAAGUAUCUCUCACGGCACGAAGAGAAUUGACUGUAGGUUCUUUAGGUGCCUCGUCCGUAAGAACAUAUAAAAUUCUCUCAUGCUCUAAGAUGAUCUUCAACUUUUGAUACCAACUAUCGAAAUUAGGUUUGAUGAGCCUGUCGCUAUCUAACAACAUACGAAGGGAUAGUGUGUUGGCCAUAACUGAAAGAAAAAUUAUAAGCCUAUUAGCAUAUGAAUUAUUUUUUAAUCCCAGAGAUAUAAACUUUAAUCUGAAGGUCCUCCAACUAUUUUUACAAAUUGGUAGCCUCUACCUCUAACUCGAAGAAUUAUACUAAUUCUUUAGCGGCUACUAGAAUCCACACAAACUGCAUUCGAGUCCGAGUGUGGCUCGACCAAUCCUAGUACAUCCAUGGGUAGGUUCAUAACCAAUUAUUUCUCCAAAUAAUUUCUAGCAAUUAGGUUUUGCCCCAAGCAUUCCUUCAGUAGGCAUGUGGCGUCUCCACUGAAAAUUUUAGUUAGGUCCAACCAUUAACAUGAUACACCAAGUGUAUCCAACAAAUGGAUGUCCAGGCCUGAGUAUGGUUUGACCAGCCUGAGCAUUGAUCUGAAGGUACAUCGUGAUGGUCAUAUGAUGAAUGACAAUUUUAAUAUGUAAUGGACAUCAGGCGUGCAGCACUCCAAUGCCUAUUUGAAAUAUUGGACUCAUUAUCAUGCACCUUAAUGGGAUACUAUGAUCAAGUUAUCUCAUAACUUUAUCAUUUUAUAGACCUAAUAAUUUAGAGAAUUUGAUUUCAUUGAUAUGAGAAUAAGAGAAGUCGACCUACAAACUAUAAAUCCUCCCACUGACUUCACCAAGUCAUAUAGAGGAUUAAACACAAGCUGGUUUAAAGAUACCUAAAGUCACACCGAUUCACCCUAAUGGUAUAGAUCUACAAGAAUCGACUAGUGACCUAAUCAAAAUAUAAUCUAUCAUGUUAGCCAGGUAAGUGAGAUCAGUAGGAGGGAUGUGCCCUUAACCCACCGUAGAUGCAUCUAGAUGAAUAGCUCCCAAUUAAAAACUACUUGAUCGAAUCUGUCAAACUUACCUUAGACAAUAAUUAGUUAAUUAGUUUCAAUUUGAUUCACCAAAAGAUUCAGACUCAACCAUGGAGCCAUGACCAUCAUCUAUUUAUUAGGGUCAAACACAUGGACUUGAUCAAACUUCAACUAUUAAGAUUGAUCUAAAAAAAUUUUGAUCUAAUUUAAUUCAAUAUUUGAUUAGAUUUAACCAAUUUCUCUACUUGAUCUAUAUGUAUUUCUAACCCUAGGUCUAACCCAUUAGAAGGAUUUGAUUUACGCUAACCUUUUGCCCAUCAUUUUAUAUAGUGUAUUAAUGAUCUUCAAUUUUUAAAUCUAGAUCAUUCAAACUUAAUUCAAAAUUAAGUGUGUGAAACGUGUGUUUCAGUCUGUAGAACUAUUCUACAAUAGUUUCAAGUGAAGCAUACCAUAUAUUUCAAUUUAUGAAAAUAAAUUUUCAUCAUAUGUUUAACAAUUAAAUAUAUAUAGGUCAGAUCUAAACUUUAUACAUACAUCUUGUGCAUCAUAACAAUUUUUAGAUCAAUACCGAUUACAUCUUAUGUAACAUGCAAUUCAGAUCUAAAAAUAAUUUUAUAUCUGAAUUUUAUUCUAUUGUAAUAAAUCAUAAAU
rnacentral:lncRNA from 1 species